UACGUAGGGGCGAGCGUUGUCCGGAAUGAUUGGGCGUAAAGGGCGCGUAGGCGGCUUGUUAAGUCUGGAGUGGAAGUCCUCUUUUCAAGGGAGGAAUUGCUUUGGAAACUGGCGGGCUUGAGUGCAGGAGAGGUUAUCGGAAUUCCCGGUGUAGCGGUGAAAUGCGUAGAGAUUAGGAAGAACACCAGUGGCGAAGGCGAUUCUCUGGACUGUAACUGACGCUGAGGCGCGAAAGUGUGGGGAGCAAACAGGAUUAGAUACCCGCGUAGUCCCUGA
rnacentral:rRNA from 1 species